AAUGAACGCUGGCGGCAGGCCUAACACAUGCAAGUCGAGCGAGCAUUUCGGUGCUAGCGGCGGACGGGUGAGUAACGCGUGGGAACGUGCCCUUUUCUGCGGAAUAGUCCUGGGAAACUGGGGGUAAUACCGCAUACGCCCUUUUGGGGAAAGAUUUAUCGGAGAAGGAUCGGCCCGCGUUGGAUUAGGUAGUUGGUGGGGUAAUGGCCCACCAAGCCGACGAUCCAUAGCUGGUUUGAGAGGAUGAUCAGCCACACUGGGACUGAGACACGGCCCAGACUCCUACGGGAGGCAGCAGUGGGGAAUCUUAGACAAUGGGGGCAACCCUGAUCUAGCCAUGCCGCGUAAGUGAUGAAGGCCUUAGGGUUGUAAAGCUCUUUCAGCUGGGAAGAUAAUGACGGUACCAGCAGAAGAAGCCCCGGCUAACUCCGUG
rnacentral:rRNA from 1 species